rnacentral:misc_RNA from 1 species
GAUGAAGAACGUAGCGAAAUGCGAUAAGUAAUGUGAAUUGCAGAAUUCAGUGAAUCAUCGAAUCUUUGAACGCACAUUGCGCCCCUUGGUAUUCCGUGGGGCAUGCCUGUUCGAGCGUCAUUUCAACCCUCAAGCUCUGCUUGGUAUUGGGCUCCGUCCUCAGGGACGCGCCUCAAAGACCUCGGCGGUGGCGUCUUGCCUCAAGCGUAGUAGAAAACACCUCGCUUUGGAGUGCUGGGCGUCGCCCGCCGGACGAACCUUUGAAUUUUUCUCAAGGUUGACCUCGGAUCAGGUAGGGAUACCCGCUGAACUUAAGCAUAUCAAUAAGCGGAGGA